ensembl:lncRNA CYP1B1-AS1 CYP1B1 antisense RNA 1
CACUGGAAGCUUUAACUCCCACUCGAGUCUCUUGGCGUCGUCAGUGCCAGGAGCGCUUGGAUUGGGAUGGGGACGGAGAAGGGUGCCUCGCUCGCCGAGCCCCGCUGCCCUUGGGGACCUGGCAAAGUCGAGGUUUCCUCACAGCGUUGAGAUUGAGACUGGGGGUCGUGGUCUCAAAUAGUCAAGACCCCCUGCUGGGAGGAGCUUCUAUCCUGCUCUGUGGAAGAAAUGGGCAUGCCAGAUGCCUGGAAGAUCAGAGGCUCACAUUCCAGUUCAAAGUUAGAGAAACCUGAGAGGGGUGUACUGGUAUGACCACCCGAGAUCCCAUCGCUGAGAAAGAUAAUGGCCCUGGAGACAAAGACUGAUGAAGAAAGACAGUAUCCAGCUGUGAUGCAGAUGAAACAUGCGGCAUGGUUGCACUCACUAUGCAGCCAAGGCUGGAAGCCACUCUGGAUCCAGCCACUCUGGCACAGCGUUCUUGCUCUAGGAAGAACAACUGAACAUGGCCACACAGGCCUCACAGCUGGCAUAUGGAGGCUGUUAAUAAGCUGAGCUUGAGGCUUCAAAGGACUCUUGUAGCCUGUGCUGGAUCUAGCAGUGACCAGUAUGCCAGUGGCCAUGGAUGCCCAGGCCCAUGUUCAGUAGUGAAGCAGGUGCUAGCAGCAGAAGCAAUAGAAAUGGAAACUGGGAGAUCUGCUGUGGAUGAAUCUCAUUAUCUUCUUUCUCUGACCCUCUUUGGACUAAAUAAACUCCCAGUAUUCUUGACCAACAGAGGUAGGGUUGGAACAGAACCUCAAAAGUCAUCAUUAGACUUCCUACUAAUAGGGCAUUGGAAGUUCAAGCGACUAACUAGGAAACAGGUUAGUAUUUGUACCCCUACACUGUGCAACAGAUUACAUACCAUUUGCUCUAUUUGGCAUCCUUUCCUUAGGCUAGAUUCCCAGAAGAAAGAUUACUGAUUCGAAGGGCAUGAACAUUUUUAUGACUCUUGGCCUAAAUUACUAGGCCAAGGUUUUUUCAAAGGGAUGCACUAAUUUUCACUAUUUCCCCACACCCUUUCAGGUGAUAAAUAAUUGACUUGAUUUGUUUACACUGACGCCAAGAAUUCUUGGGAAGAAGGAUCAAAGUGAAAAGUGGUAGCCCAUGGUGGGGAGGCCACACUCAGUGCAGUUGUGAAGUCAGCAGCAUUUUUAAGCCCAUUCAUUGCCAGUAGCCCUGAGAUGAGCAUUCCCAAGCUGCUUCCCAGGUCCCUCCUCCACUCUCUCAGGGACAUCCAUUCUGUACCAGCCCCCUCAGAUACUCAUGCCCUUGCCCUCCCUUCUCCAUGCUCAUUAAAACCAGCUUAAGAGCAGAUAUGACAUCAGUCACUUACCUUUUCGUGUGGCUCUAAAUCAAAGUGUCACCUCUCCCAAGCACAUGCUUGCAUCUUAGCUCUGAUUGAGGAAUGAAAAGCUUUGUUCUCUGUUAAAAGAACUUUGAGCUUAGAUGCCCCAGACUGAGAAAUCCACCAAAAGCUGGACCUUUGACUUGAGCGGCAAAGGACCCCCAUAGUCAGGCUGUGAUUUGAGGAGCAUCAAGAGGCCAGAGUUUCCAAGUUGGGACCCAGAAGGUGGGGUUGGCAGGGGGAGGGUAGGAGCAGCUGGAGACUCUGCUCUACCAGGGGAAUACGGAGGUGGGGACCAAUCCCAGGGUAA